rnacentral:tRNA from 1 species
GGGCUGAUAGCUCAGCUGGUAGAGCGCUGCAUUCGCAUUGCAGAGGUCUGGGGUUCGAUUCCCCAUCAGUCCACCA